UAGGGAAUCUUCCACAAUGGACGCAAGUCUGAUGGAGCAACGCCGCGUGAGUGAAGAAGGUUUUCGGACCGUAAAGCUCUGUUGUUGGUGAAGAAGGAUAGAGGUAGUAACUGGCCUUUAUUUGACGGUAAUCAACCAGAAAGUCACGGCUAACUACGUGCCAGCAGCCGCGAUAAUACGUAGGUGGCAAGCGUUGUCCGGAUUUAUUGGGCGUAAAGCGAGCGCAGGCGGAAGAAUAAGUCUGAUGUGAAAGCCCUCGGCUUAACCGAGGAAUUGCAUCGGAAACUGUUUUCUUGAGUGCAGAAGAGGAGAGUAGAACUCCAUGUGUAGCGGUGGAAUGCGUAGAUAUAUGGAAGAAUACCAGUGGCGAAGGCGGCUCUCUGGUCUGCAACUGACGCUGAGGCUCGAAAGCAUGGGUAGCGAACAGGAUUAGAUACCCUGGUAGUCCAUGCCGUAAACGAUGAGUGCUAAGUGUUGGGAGGCUUCCGCCUCUCAGUGCUGCAGCUAACGCAUUAAGCACUCCGCCUGGGGAGUACGACCGCAAGGUUGAA
rnacentral:rRNA from 1 species